GACGAACGCUGGCGGCGUGCUUAAUACAUGCAAGUCGAGCGGCAAGUUGAGAAGCAAUUCGAGACCUAGAGCGGCGUACGGGUGCGUAACGCGUAUGCAACCUACCUCAUACAGGGGGAUAGCCCGGAGAAAUCUGGAUUAAUACCCCAUAGUACGACGCGAGGGCAUCUGAGUGUUGUUAAAGAUUCAUCGGUAUGAUAUGGGCAUGCGUCUGAUUAGCUAGUUGGCGGUGUAACGGACCACCAAGGCGACGAUCAGUAGGGGUUCUGAGAGGAAGGUCCCCCACACUGGCACUGAGAUACGGGCCAGACUCCUACGGGAGGCAGCAGUAGGGAAUAUUGGGCAAUGGUCGGAAGACUGACCCAGCCAUGCCGCGUGCAGGAAGACGGCGUUCUGCGUUGUAAACUGCUUUUAUCUGGGAAGAAAAGGCCCAUGCGUGGGACAUUGCCGGUACCAGAUGAAUAAGCACCGGCUAACUCCGUGCCAGCCGCCGCAGUAACAC
rnacentral:rRNA from 1 species